UUGUUUCAUGGGCUUAUCCUUGAUGCCUUUUGGGACACUUCGGAUUGUUGAAAGAUUAAUAUUCUUGUUGCGUUUUUAAGGGCGAAGUAUCAGUGAAAUUUUCUUCGAUACUUUGGAAAGGUUAGGAAGACGAGAAUUUGACAUUGCCUCGUAGCUUCCUUUAUUGGUUUGGAGUGCGCUAGUGAUCGAAGUUGUGCUUUUUUGUUGGAACUAGUAAAGGAAGGCAUGGAUUAGAACCAGCAGCAAAGCAAAGAAAACAAAAGUGCUGACGAGGUGCCACUUGAGUCUGUAAAUGGAAAGAAAACACUGAAAAAUGACGUAAUCUCAGAACAACUGUGUGGAGCUGGAAAUUAACAGUGCUGGAAUACAACAGUAAAUCCUGCUGAUAAACUGAGAACAGCUGUGUGGGGCUGGAAAUUAACAGUGCUGGAAUACAAUAGUUAACUCCUGCUGAGAAACUGAGAACAGCUGAGAGGGCUGGAAAAUAACAGUGCUGGAAUACAACAGUUAUCCACUACUGAAAUUCAGAAACAGGAAACUUUUAAAUACUUUUGUGCAACAAUAUACUGAGCAUGCAGUAAUAUCUUCCAUUGCCUCAAUUCCAGUUACUUGUAGAAAGGUCAUCUCUGAACCAUUAAAUAGGAUCUGUUUUACCCAUCAUGGAAGGAAAAAAUCUUAACCCUUUAACCCCUAAAAGUGACCAGCUUCUAAUUUCUCCUUACAAUAUCACCCCUGAAUCAAACAUUGAGUUCAUGAGAAUAAAGGA